rnacentral:rRNA from 1 species
CCUACGGGUGGCAGCAGUGGGGAAUAUUGCGCAAUGGACGAAAGCCUGACGCAGCGACGCCGCGUGAGGGAUGAAGGUCUUCGGAUCGGAAACCUCCGUCAGCAGGGAAGAACGGUCACUUUGCUAAUCAGCAGUGCAUUUACGGUACCUGCAAAGGAAGCACCAGCUAACUCCGUGCCAGCAGCCGCGGUAAUACGGAGGGUGCGAGCGUUAAUCGGAAUUACUGGGCGUAAGGCGCUCGUAGGCGGUAUGUCAAGUCAAGGGUGAAAUCCCCGCGCUAAACGUGGGAACUGCCUUUGAAACUGGUAAACUGGAGUGUGUGAGAGGAGAGUGGAAUUCCAGGUGUAGGAGUGAAAUCCGUAGAGAUCUGGAGGAACAUCAGUUGCGAAGGCGACUAACUGGCACAUAACUGACACUGAUGCUCGAAAGUGUGGGUAUCAAACAGGAUUAGAUACCCGAGUAGUC